UCAAGCUAAAAAGAGCGCAAGGGGAAUGCCUUGGCAUCAGGAGCCGAAGAAGGACGUGACAAGCUGCGAUAAGCUGCGGUGAGGAGCAAAUAUCCUUUGACCCGCAGAUCUCCGAAUGGGGCAACCCGGCUGGACAAUAUCCAGUCAUCCUGCAUUGAAUCAAAUAGGUGUAGGAAGGGAACCGUCUGAACUGAAACAUCUAAGUAGGACGAGGAAGAGACAUCAACCGAGAUUCCGCAAGUAGUGGCGAGCGAACGCGGAAGAGGCCAAACCGGAGGAUUAAUUCUCCGGGGUUGCGGACAGUCAUUUAGCAGAAGAUAUCUAACCGAAGGGUCUGGGAAGGCCCACCACAGAGGGUGAGAGUCCCGUAGGUGAAAGAGAAGGCUGUGAGACUGGAUCCAGAGUACCGCAGGACACGUGAAACCCUGUGGGAAACAGGGGGGACCACCCUCCAAGCCUAAAUACUACCUGAUGACCGAUAGAGGAGCAGUACCGUGAGGGAAAGGUGAAAAGGACCCCGGGAGGGGAGUGAAAGAGAACCUGAAACCUUGUGCUUACAAGCAGUCAGAGCACGUUAACGUGUGAUGGCGUACUUUUUGUAGAACGGUCCGGCGAGUUAUAGUAACGAGCAAGCUUAAGGUAUUCAGUACCGGAGGCGAAGCGAAAGCGAGUCUGAAAAGGGCGCAUGAAGUUCGUUGCCAUAGACCCGAAACCGGGUGACCUACGCAUGAGCAGGUUGAAGUGGGGGUGAAACCCCAUGGAGGACCGAACCAACCCCCGUUGCAAUGGUGGUGGAUGACUUGUGCGUAGCGGUGAAAUUCCAAUCGAACUCGGAGAUAGCUGGUUCUCCCCGAAAUAGCUUUAGGGCUAGCGUUAGUUUAGAUUACCGGAGGUAAAGCACUGAAUGGUUUAGGGGCUGAUAAAGUUACCGACGCCUAUCAAACUCUGAAUGCCGGAUAAUUGAUGACUAGCAGUCAGACAGUGUGAGAUAAGUUUCAUUGUCAAAAGGGAAACAGCCCAGACCUACAGCUAAGGUCCCAAAUGUAUGCUAAGUGGAAAACGAUGUGGAAUUGCGAAAACAACCAGGAUGUUGGCUUAGAAGCAGCCACACAUUAAAAGAGUGCGUAAUAGCUCACUGGUCGAGUGACUCUGCGCGGAAAAUGUAACGGGGCUAAGCAUGCAACCGAAGCUUAGGAUUGUCUAAAGACAGUGGUAGGGGAGCGUUCUGUAUGGGGUGAAGUCGCAGCGAGAGCAGCGGUGGACUGUACAGAAGUGAGAAUGCCGGAAUGAGUAGCGAGAAUUAUGUGGGAAUCAUAAUGGCCGAAAAUCUAAGGUUUCUUGGGGAAGGUUCGUCCGCCCAAGGUAAGUCGGGAGCUAAGCUCAGGCCGAGAGGCGUAGGCGAUGCACAUACGGUAGAAAUUCCGUAACCACCGAAACUUAAACAGAGGGACACUUCGAAAUAGCGGAACCCGGGCGUUGGUUGACCCGGGCGUAAGGGAGCGAAAUUAGAGUAGCGAAGUCCGCGAUGUUCGGAGGCGAGAAAAGCUCUGAGGUAUGCUAAGGUGCCCGUACCGCAAACCGACACAGGUAGAUGAGGAGAGAAUCCUAAGGCCAACGGGAGAAGGGUUGUUAAGGAACUCGGCAAAUUGGUCCCGUAACUUCGGGAGAAGGGACGCCCUCGAAAGAGGGUCGCAGUGAAUAGGCCCAAGCAACUGUUUACCAAAAACACAGGUCUCUGCUAAAUCGAAAGAUGACGUAUAGGGGCUGACGCCUGCCCGGUGCCGGAAGGUUAAGAGGAGGGCUUAGUGGCAACACGAAGGCUUGAAUUUAAGCCCCGGUAAACGGCGGCCGUAACUAUAACGGUCCUAAGGUAGCGAAAUUCCUUGUCAGGUAAGUUCUGACCCGCACGAAAGGCGUAAUGAUUUGGGCACUGUCUCAACAGCCCGCCCGGCGAAAUUGUAGUACCGGUGAAGAUGCCGGUUACC
rnacentral:rRNA from 1 species